rnacentral:rRNA from 1 species
GAUGUUUGAUCCUGGCUCAGAUUGAACGCUGGCGGCAGGCCUAACACAUGCAAGUCGAGCGGAUGAGAGGAGCUUGCUCCUUGAUUUAGCGGCGGACGGGUGAGUAAUGCCUAGGAAUCUGCCUAGUGGUGGGGGAUAACGUUCCGAAAGGAACGCUAAUACCGCAUACGUCCUACGGGAGAAAGCGGGGGAUCUUCGGACCUCGCGCCAUUAGAUGAGCCUAGGUCGGAUUAGCUAGUAGGUGAGGUAAUGGCUCACCUAGGCGACGAUCCGUAACUGGUCUGAGAGGAUGAUCAGUCACACUGGAACUGAGACACGGUCCAGACUCCUACGGGAGGCAGCAGUGGGGAAUAUUGGACAAUGGGCGAAAGCCUGAUCCAGCCAUGCCGCGUGUGUGAAGAAGGUCUUCGGAUUGUAAAGCACUUUAAGUUGGGAGGAAGGGUAUUCACCUAAUACGUGAGUAUUUUGACGUUACCGACAGAAUAAGCACCGGCUAACUUCGUGCCAGCAGCCGCGGUAAUACGAAGGGUGCAAGCGUUAAUCGGAAUUACUGGGCGUAAAGCGCGCGUAGGUGGUUCGUUAAGUUGGAUGUGAAAGCCCCGGGCUCAACCUGGGAACUGCAUCCAAAACUGGCGAGCUAGAGUACGGUAGAGGGUGGUGGAAUUUCCUGUGUAGCGGUGAAAUGCGUAGAUAUAGGAAGGAACACCAGUGGCGAAGGCGACUCUCCUGGACUGAUAACUGACACUGAGGCGCGAAAGCGUGGGGAGCGAACAGGAUUAGAUACCCUGGUAGUCCACGCCGUAAACGAUGAGUGCUAAGUGUUAGAGGGUUUCCGCCCUUUAGUGCUGCAGCAAACGCAUUAAGCACUCCGCCUGGGGAGUACGGUCGCAAGACUGAAACUCAAAGGAAUUGACGGGGGCCCGCACAAGCGGUGGAGCAUGUGGUUUAAUUCGAAGCAACGCGAAGAACCUUACCAGGUCUUGACAUCCUUCGCUACUUCUAGAGAUAGAAGGUUCCCCUUCGGGGGACGAAGUGACAGGUGGUGCAUGGUUGUCGUCAGCUCGUGUCGUGAGAUGUUGGGUUAAGUCCCGCAACGAGCGCAACCCUUGAUCUUAGUUGCCAGCAUUCAGUUGGGCACUCUAAGGUGACUGCCGGUGACAAACCGGAGGAAGGUGGGGAUGACGUCAAAUCAUCAUGCCCCUUAUGACCUGGGCUACACACGUGCUACAAUGGAUGGUACAAAGGGCUGCAAGACUGCGAAGUCAAGCCAAUCCCAUAAAACCAUUCUCAGUUCGGAUUGCAGGCUGCAACUCGCCUGCAUGAAGCCGGAAUCGCUAGUAAUCGCGGAUCAGCAUGCCGCGGUGAAUACGUUCCCGGGCCUUGUACACACCGCCCGUCACACCACGAGAGUUUGUAACACCCGAAGUCGGUGGGGUAACCGUAAGGAGCCAGCCGCCUAAGGUGGGACAGAUGAUUGGGGUGAAGUCGUAACAAGGUAACC